rnacentral:rRNA from 1 species
UCGAAAAACACAAACGACUCUCGGCAACGGAUAUCUCGGCUCUCGCAUCG